rnacentral:rRNA from 1 species
AUUAGAAACCCCUGUAGUCCGGCUGACUGACUCUUACACCAAGUAUCUCGUCUGCCGUCUUCUGCUUGAAAAAAAUAACGCAGCUUAACUGUGGGACUUGCUGGAGAUACUAUUAGACUUGAGGUCGGGAGAGUUUAGGGGUACUCCCAGGGUAGGGGUGAAAUCCUAUAAUCCUGGGAGGACCACCUGUUGAAAAGGCGCCCAACUAGAACGAUCCUGACGAUGAGAAACGAAAGCCAGGCGCGCCAAUAG